rnacentral:rRNA from 1 species
AGAAUGAACGCUAGCGAUAUGCUUAACACAUGCAAGUUGAACGUUGUUUUCGAAUCAGAAUGAGAACAAAGUAGCGAACGGGUGCGUAACACGUGGGAAUCUGCCGAACAGUUUGGGCCAAAUCCCGAAUGAAUAAAAGCUAAAAAGCGCUGUUUGAUGAGCCCACGUAGUAUUAGGUAGUUGGUUAGGUAAAAGCUGACCAAGCCUACGAUGCUUAGCUGGUCUUUUCGGAUGAUCAGCCACACUGGGACUGAGACACGGCCCAGACUCCUACGGGAGGCAGCAGUGGGGAAUCUUGGACAAUGGGCGAAAGCCUGAUCCGGCAAUAUGGCGUGAGUGAAGAAGGGCAACGCAGCUUGUAAAGCUCUUUCAUCGAGUGUGCGAUUGUGACAAGACUCGAAUAAGAAGCCCCGGCUAACUCCGUGCCAGCAGCCGCGA